CCUACGGGGGGCAGCAGUGGGGGAUAUUGCACAAUGGGGGAAACCCUGAUGCAGCGACGCCGCGUGGGUGAAGAAGCGCCUCGGCGCGUAAAGCCCUGUCAGCAGGGAAGAAAAUGACGGUACCUAAAGAAGAAGCCCCGGCUAACUACGUGCCAGCAGCCGCGGUAAUACGUAGGGGGCAAGCGUUAUCCGGAUUUAUUGGGUGUAAAGGGUGCGUAGACGGGAAAUUAAGUUAGUUGUGAAAUCCCUCGGCUCAACUGAGGAACUGCAACUAAAACUGGUUUUCUUGAGUGUUGGAGAGGAAA
rnacentral:rRNA from 1 species